GAUGAAGAACGUAGCGAAAUGCGAUAAGUAAUGCGAAUUGCAGAAUUUCCGUGAGUCAUCGAAUCUUUGAACGCACCUUGCGCUCCUUGGUAUUCCGAGGAGCAUGCCUGUUUGAGUGUCAUUAAAUUCUCAACCUUACCAGCUUUUAUUAGACGGUUUAAGGCUUGGAUGUGGGGGUUUGCGGGCUUCUUCUAGAAGUCGGCUCCCCUUAAAUGCAUUAGUGAAACCUUUGUUGACCAGCUUUGGUGUGAUAAUUAUCUACGCCAUAGUGAAGCAGCUUUUAUAUUGGGGUUUUGCUUCUAACCGUCCUUAACAAGGACAACUCUUGACAAUUUGACCUCAAAUCAGGUAGGACUACCCGCUGAACUUAAGCAUAUCAAUAAGCGGAGGA
rnacentral:misc_RNA from 1 species